GGCCCGUAAUCCGGGUUGCGGACAGUGUCUGGUGGGUAGUUUGACUGGGGCGGUCUCCUCCUAAAGAGUAACGGAGGAGCACGAAGGUUGGCUAAUCCUGGUCGGACAUCAGGAGGUUAGUGCAAUGGCAUAAGCCAGCUUGACUGCGAGCGUGACGGCGCGAGCAGGUGCGAAAGCAGGUCAUAGUGAUCCGGUGGUUCUGAAUGGAAGGGCCAUCGCUCAACGGAUAAAAGGUACUCCGGGGAUAACAGGCUGAUACCGCCCAAGAGUUCAUAUCGACGGCGGUGUUUGGCACCUCGAUGUCGGCUCAUCACAUCCUGGGGCUGAAGUAGGUCCCAAGGGUAUGGCUGUUCGCCAUUUAAAGUGGUACGCGAGCUGGGUUUAGAACGUCGUGAGACAGUUCGGUCCCUAUCUGCCGUGGGCGCUGGAGAACUGAGGGGGGCUGCUCCUAGUACGAGAGGACCGGAGUGGACGCAUCACUGGUGUUCGGGUUGUCAUGCCAAUGGCACUGCCCGGUAGCUAAAUGCGGAAGAGAUAAGUGCUGAAAGCAUCUAAGCACGAAACUUGCCCCGAGAUGAGUUCUCCCUGACUCCUUGAGAGUCCUGAAGGAACGUUGAAGACGACGACGUUGAUAGGCCGGGUGUGUAAGCGCAGCGAUGCGUUGAGCUAACCGGUACUAAUGAACCGUGAGGCUUAACCUU
rnacentral:rRNA from 1 species